UUAACCUCAGAUCAGGCAGAGAUUACCCGCUGAA
rnacentral:rRNA from 1 species